rnacentral:lncRNA from 1 species
AUAGGGUUUAUCUGCAGAGCUGAUCUCCUUGGGUGCCAUAUUGACCUCCCAGGGGUCAGAGGUCAUAAAGUUGUUAGGUUUGGGUUCAGCGAUAUCAGAGACCUCCACUUGUUUUGACCUGCUGAGGCAGUGUGUAUGUGACGUUCAAAAGACUCUCGCUGAUAAACAGGAGCAGCUACAGGAACGAUUAAAACAUACGACUCAGCUGCAGAAGAGAGUGAAAGACCUGCAUGACUCAGUACUAACUAAUGCAUCAAUCCUUCACCCUACAACUAAUGGAGAAACCCACUAUGACCUUCACACACAGCUGCAGGCCAUCACUGGAUGGAAACGGGAAGUGGAGCAGAGUGAGAGAAAGUUGGCAGAACAUAAAGAAGAGACAGAGAGUCGAGAUCAGCCCUCGUCCCUCACACAGCAGAUCAGCACACUGGAG